rnacentral:lncRNA from 1 species
AGUCACUGGGAACAUGCCUUUGGAGGGUAUAUCUCCUCUCUGGCUCUUUCACUUCUUUUCUGCUACCUGGAUGACAGGAAGUGAGCAACUUUCCAUGCCCUUCCACCAUGAUGUUUCUGCCUUGGAGCCAGCUAACCAUGGACUCAAACCUCUGAAACCAUGAGUCAAAAUAAACCUCUCCUCCUUUAAAUUGUUUUCUCAGGUAUUUGGUCAUAGGGACAAAAAGCUAAUAUAUUAAGCAAGGACCUUCAGGUAGAGAGGUUGUCCAGAAUUAUCGGGGUGGACCCAGUAUCAUCACAUGGGAUUUAGAAGCAAGACCUUUUCCAGCGGUAGACAGAGUGAGAUGCAACUGGAGAAGAGAGGCAGAGAGACUCGGUGUUGCUGACUUUGACGAUGGAGCCAGGAGGCCGUAAUCUGAGGGGCAGGGGCAGCCACUAGAAGCUGAGAAGGCCAGGAAACAGACUCUCCACUAAGGUUUACCAGAAGGGACAGCAGCCCUACCAUCACCUUGGCUGGGGCUCAGCGAGAUCCAAGUCGGACUUCUGACCUGUGGAACUGCAAGGUGAAAGAACCUCCUCAUACGACAAGCAAGGUACCUGGAUCAGAGAUGUGAAGCUGUCUCCCCAUGUCACACAGCUCAUAAGAAGCAGUCAACACUAGACCCCAAGCUCCCUGGUGAAGCACUCCAGAGUCUUCAAGACAGAAUCUCUCCACCUCCCUUCUCUGCUGCCAUUACUGAUGCUGAUGACAGUAACAGCAGUGGAUGGGGAGUGAAAGCGAAAGUCAGUGGCAACCUAUUGAAGGAAUUAGCACCCAUGCCCAGCUGGGAAGUGGAUUCAUCAUUUCCGUUUACCUUUCUGAGAAGGGAAAGAGCAGAAAAAGGUGCCAAGUGCUGCAAUGCUGUGACAUGGCAUCGGAUUUUGCACACAGAACAGCCCAUAUGUGAUGCUCUAUGUAUAGAACACCAGGCGCAGCUGAUUCCAAAAUCAUCCUUAAUGCUUCUCACAUACGUCUUAUGAGGGCAUCGGAUCUGAAAGUGUCCCAAAUGCUUCUGCUGCCGAGCUUUCUAGUACUUGGACAUCGCUGGACAGCAGAGGAGAAUUGGUGAGCUCUGCUCCACUUGGAAGGGUUACCAGUUUUUGGUUGGCAGGAAUGAUGGGUUUGAACAAUGUGGACUGUUGUACCUAGAGUUUACCUGCUCUUUCCCUUCCUAACCCAGCAGAAAUAUAGUAUCUGACUUCCAAACUUAGCCCAAAUUAAUGCCGUGCGUGCCCCUUUUCAACAAUACCAGAAAUACGUGUGCUUUUUAAAAACUUCAUCCAUGAAACACACUCCUUUUCUUGUGCCCUUCUAGGUGCCCCAUAAUUUGAUGAUAAAACAUCUGGGCGCUGCCGAGAAUGCAAAGUCUUGGCAGCAGGGCACUGUGUGCAUCUUACCUCCUCGGUGACCCCACCACCCAGCACAUCAGAGACACUGCUAAAUAUUUUGAAAUUAACCCAGGGAGAUGGCAUACAGAGACUGUUAUGAAAAUCGGAAGUUUACUUUUAAGGAGAACGGGCCCUGGUUUGCAAGUACAUAGGACACUGUUUCUACAACUGGCUUUGAAGGUCAUCUGUGCUUGAGACUUGCACUGGAACAGGGCACACAUGUUUGUCAGGCUCAGGGGCCGAGCAGUGCCAAGGUCAGCCAUGGUUAUCAUGGUGAUAGGGACUCAGAACUUGGUGGGGCCUGGAUAGUGGGCAAAAGAGAAUCCCUUCCGCAGCACGCAGCACGGAGCCCCCAAACAAGCACAAAUACACUCACAAUUGU